GACGAACGCUGGCGGCGUGCCUAACACAUGCAAGUCGAACGGAAAGGCCCUGCUUUUGUGGGGUGCUCGAGUGGCGAACGGGUGAGUAACACGUGAGUAACCUGCCCUUGACUUUGGGACAACUUCAGGAAACCGGGGCUAAUACCGGAUAGGAGCUCCUGCUGCAUGGGGGGGGUUGGAAAGUUUCGGCGGAUGGGGAUGGACGCGCGGCUUAUCAGCUUGUGGGUGGGGUAGUGGCUUACCAAGGCUUUGACGGGUAGCCGGCCUGAGAGGGUGGCCGGCCACAUUGGGACUGAGAUACGGCCCAGACUCCUACGGGAGGCAGCGGUGGGGAGUAUUGCACAAUGGGCGGAAGCCUGAUGCGACAGCGCCGCGUGCGGGAUGACGGCCUUCGGGUUGUAAACCGCUUUCGCCUGUGACGAAGCGUGAGUGACGGUAAUGGGUGAAGAAGCACCGGCUAACUACGUG
rnacentral:rRNA from 1 species